UACGUAGGGGGCAAGCGUUGUCCGGAUUUAUUGGGCGUAAAGAGCGUGUAGGCGGCCAGACAGGUCCGUUGUGAAAACUCGAGGCUCAACCUCGAGACGCCGAUGGAAACCGUCUGGCUAGAGUCCGGAAGAGGAGAGUGGAAUUCCUGGUGUAGCGGUGAAAUGCGCAGAUAUCAGGAGGAACACCAAUGGCGAAGGCAGCUCGCUGGGACGGUACUGACGCUGAGGCGCGAAAGCGUGGGGAGCGAACAGG
rnacentral:rRNA from 1 species